UACGUAGGGGGCAAGCGUUGUCCGGAUUUAUUGGGCGUAAAGAGCGUGUAGGCGGCCAGACAGGUCAGCUGUGAAAACUCGAGGCUCAACCUCGAGACGUCGGUUGAAACCGUUUGGCUAGAGUCCGGAAGAGGAGAGUGGAAUUCCCGGUGUAGCGGUGAAAUGCGCAGAUAUCGGGAAGAACACCCGUGGCGAAGGCGGUCUGCUGGGCCGUUGCUGACGCUGAGGCGCGACAGCGUGGGGAGCAAACAGG
rnacentral:rRNA from 1 species